ACUCCGUACGGAGGCAGCAGGAUUGGGGAAUAAUUGGCACAAUGGGCGCAAGCCUGAUGCAGCCAUGCCGCGUGUGUGAAGAAGGCCUUCGGGUUGUAAAGCACUUUCAGUCGUGAGGAAGGUAGUGUAGUUAAUAGCUGCAUUAUUUGACGUUAGCGACAGAAGAAGCACCGGCUAACUCCGUGCCAGCAGCCGCGGUAAUACGGAGGGUGCGAGCGUUAAUCGGAAUUACUGGGCGUAAAGCGCAUGCAGGUGGUUUGUUAAGUCAGAUGUGAAAGCCCGGGGCUCAAGCCUCGGAAUUGCAUUUGAAA
rnacentral:rRNA from 1 species